GCCAUGUGGAACUACAUCUACCCCUGGAGAAAGAGCCCAAUGAGAAGUAAUCUCUGAAGCCCAGAUUUCCUAAGGAUGAAGCUUCAGGAGAGGCCUUAUCAAUCCUGACAACAAACUUUUCUCGUCAAUUUAGUUUCAUUUAAUGGAAGUUUUAAAUGUGUAAAGUUCAGAAGGCUAUUAAAAUUGGUUCCAGCUAUCUAAGAUACACACACAACCACACACGCGCACACACGAAUACAAAUAUGCCUUCCCAAUCAUCUCCCAAAGUCUCAACUC
rnacentral:lncRNA from 1 species